rnacentral:lncRNA from 1 species
AGAGGACUUGUUGCCACCAUUGUGGUCCAUCCACCUCACUAUGACAAUGACCAUCUCUAACAACUCAUUAUUUCUCCUUUCCACCUACAGCACUCACCUUCACACAAACCGUGAAUUUUAUCCCACAGCAUUUGUGGUAGCACCUUAGGAAAUAUUAAUUUCCAAAUAAACAGGCUACAUUUCUAUAUAGGACAUAUUGGAAUUAAUGAAAGGUUGUGAAUAUU